AAGUCAUUUUGGGGGCAAUUUCUUAUCAAUCCCUUGUAGCAUUCCCAUGCUUUGUAUAGUGACUCUCCCGGUUGUUGCUCGAAGUUGGCUAUGGAUUUCUUGAGUUU